AGUGGGAUAGCUGAGUCAAAUGCCGUUCCAAGUUUUCUAAGGAAUCUCCAUACUGCUUUCCAGAUUGGGUGUACCAUUUUGCAGUCCCAUCAGCAAU
rnacentral:pre_miRNA from 1 species